UAAAAUCAAUCCCCAUGGGUUUCAUUACCCGGUGGUGGGCUUGGACUUGGGUGUUUGCCGUUCCGGCUCGCCUCAAAGAUGUCAGUGGGACAAGCUGCCUACGGCCCGACGUGAUAAGUUUCGUCAGACCUGGCUCCUUAUGCCCGCUCAUAACCUGCCCUCGGGCAACACUUUAU
rnacentral:misc_RNA from 1 species